CCUACGGGUGGCAGCAGUGGGGAAUAUUGGUCAAUGGGCGCAAGCCUGACCCAGCAACGCCGCGUGAAGGAAGAAGGCUUUCGGGUUGUAAACUUCUUUUGACAGGGGAGAGCAGAAGACGGUACCUGUCGAAUAAGCCACGGCUAACUACGUGCAAGCAGCCCCGGUAAUACGUAGGUGGCAAGGGUUGUCCGGAUUUACUGGGUGUAAAGGGCGUGUUGCCGGGUUGACAAGUCAGAUGUGAAAUCAGGGGGCUCAACCCACGAACUGCAUUUGAAACUGUUGGUCUUGAGUAUCGGAGAGGCAGGCGGAAUUCGUGGUGUAGCGGUGAAAUGCGUAGAUAUUAGGAGGAACACCAGUGGCGAAGGCGGCCUGCUGGACGACAACUGACGGUGAGGCGCGAAAGCGUGGGGAGCAAACAGGAUUAGAUACCCGAGUAGUC
rnacentral:rRNA from 1 species